GGCCUAACACAUGCAAGUCGAGCGGAAACGACACUAACAAUCCUUCGGGUGCGUUAAUGGGCGUCGAGCGGCGGACGGGUGAGUAAUGCCUAGGAAAUUGCCUUGAUGUGGGGGAUAACCAUUGGAAACGAUGGCUAAUACCGCAUAAUGCCUACGGGCCAAAGAGGGGGACCUUCGGGCCUCUCGCGUCAAGAUAUGCCUAGGUGGGAUUAGCUAGUUGGUGAGGUAAUGGCUCACCAAGGCGACGAUCCCUAGCUGGUCUGAGAGGAUGAUCAGCCACACUGGAACUGAGACACGGUCCAGACUCCUACGGGAGGCAGCAGUGGGGAAUAUUGCACAAUGGGCGAAAGCCUGAUGCAGCCAUGCCGCGUGUAUGAAGAAGGCCUUCGGGUUGUAAAGUACUUUCAGUUGUGAGGAAGGGGGUAGCGUUAAUAGCGCUAUCUCUUGACGUUAGCAACAGAAGAAGCACCGGCUAACUCCGUGCCAGCAGCCGCGGUAAUACGGAGGGUGCGAGCGUUAAUCGGAAUUACUGGGCGUAAAGCGCAUGCAGGUGGUUCAUUAAGUCAGAUGUGAAAGCCCGGGGCUCAACCUCGGAACUGCAUUUGAAACUGGUGAACUAGAGUACUGUAGAGGGGGGUAGAAUUUCAGGUGUAGCGGUGAAAUGCGUAGAGAUCUGAAGGAAUACCAGUGGCGAAGGCGGCCCCCUGGACAGAUACUGACACUCAGAUGCGAAAGCGUGGGGAGCAA
rnacentral:rRNA from 1 species